GGAGGGAUGGCCGAGUGGCUUAAGGCGGCGGUUUGCUAAACCGUUAUGUGACUAGUAAGUUGCAUCGAGGGUUCGAAUCCCUCUCCUUCCG